UACGUAGGCAGCAAGCGUUGUUCGGAAUUACUGGGCGUAAAGAGCUCGUAGGUGGCUUGUCACGUCGGGUGUGAAAGCUUGGGGCUUAACUCCAGGUCUGCAUUCGAUACGGGCUGGCUAGAGGUAGGUAGGGGGAGAACGGAAUUCCUGGUGUAGCGGUGAAAUGCGUAGAUAUCAGGAGGAACACCGGCGGUGUAGACGGCUUUCGUGGACCGUAGCUGACGCUGGAGACACGAAAGACGUGGGUAGCAAACAGG
rnacentral:rRNA from 1 species